GCCAGGUGUGGUGGCACACACCUGUAAUCCCAGCAGCUCAGGAGGCUGAGACAGAAGGAUGGCAAGUUCAAAGCCAGCCUCAGCAACAGCAAGGCCCUAAGCAACUCAGUGAGACCCUGUCUCUA
rnacentral:sRNA from 1 species